rnacentral:rRNA from 1 species
UACGUAGGGGGCAAGCGUUAUCCGGAUUUACUGGGUGUAAAGGGAGCGUAGACGGCCAGACAAGUCUGAAGUGAAAAUCCAGCGCUUAACGUUGGAAGUGCUUUGGAAACUGCCGGGCUAGAGUGCAGGAGGGGCAGGCGGAAUUCCUAGUGUAGCGGUGAAAUGCGUAGAUAUUAGGAGGAACACCAGUGGCGAAGGCGGCCUGCUGGACUGCAACUGACGUUGAGGCUCGAAGGCGCGGGGAGCAAACAGG